GAUGAUGAUCGAGAUCCUUUAUUUGUUGAUACAGUAGAAAGUCAGGAGAAAAGCCAGGAUGCAGCUGGUGAUCAAGGGCAAAAACAAGGGUCAGCUGGGGACACUGAUAUCAUGCUGAAAACACCAACCCGAUCAACGCACUUGAACAACCCAAGAUCCACAUACAAAUGUUGGGAGGGGAUAUCAGAGUGCUAGUCAAUUCCCAAGGAGCAACCACUGACAGACGAUGAUCUUCUUCCUGCACUAGGCAUGUCAAUUGUUUAUAGCCUUGCUGGUUGUGAUCAAAAUAACUCUGUGGAAAUCGACAGAGUAACUGACCUGAUCCCCAAAAUCAUUGGAUUCACAAGCUUCACAAGUGCAACAGUGAAUUCCGAAGAACAGAAGGUUCUCUUAAAGUCAUCACUAAAGGUGUUGCAG
rnacentral:lncRNA from 1 species